UGGGGAAUAUUGCACAAUGGGCGCAAGCCUGAUGCAGCCAUGCCGCGUGUAUGAAGAAGGCCUUCGGGUUGUAAAGUACUUUCAGCGGGGAGGAAGGGAGUAAAGUUAAUACCUUUGCUCAUUGACGUUACCCGCAGAAGAAGCACCGGCUAACUCCGUGCCAGCAGCCGCGGUAAUACGGAGGGAGCAAGCGUUACUCGGAAUUACUGGGCGUAAAGCGCACGCAGGCGGUUUGUUAAGUCAGAUGUGAAAUCCCCGGGCUCAACCUGGGAACUGCAUCUGAUACUGGCAAGCUUGAGUCUCGUAGAGGGGGGUAGAAUUCCAGGUGUAGCGGUGAAAUGCGUAGAGAUCUGGAGGAAUACCGGUGGCGAAGGCGGCCCCCUGGACGAAGACUGACGCUCAGGUGCGAAAGCGUGGGGAGCAAACA
rnacentral:rRNA from 1 species